CUCACAUACAUCAGCUGCAUACAUGUAGUUUCACAAACACAUCAACUUGGCCACGGAUCACGGCUGUCAAACAAGGAAGUGGAUAUAUCAAAACAAGUCAAAAUAUCGUACAGCGAUACUCUAGAUAGAGCCAGUUGUAAGUGCAAGAUAUGGCGAAAAGCUGAAACUUUUGGCGGUAACCGACCCAUACACACUGAAAACAUGGUCGCCAGACGUUAAAUUACUACCAGCGGUGAAAUAUCCUGACAUUGUUAACUUCCUUGUGUAUUUUCCCAGUGAAUACACUUUAGAUGAUCUAAAAUGUUACAAGGGCAUUGAAGCAUACAACCAGUUUAUUUGUGGAUGGGUAUCUGGUAUUUCAACAGCAGUGAUCGACAUGUUGUUAAGGCAAAGGUCCUCCAUUCACAGCGGCUUCGUGAAAAGCCUUGAACCCCUGAAUCAUCGCCGAAGAGAAUGGUAAGGUGCUGUCGUCACACUGGGAUUGCAUGGCAGGAUUGGGCGAAUCCUGCACACAUACUUGCAGUUGAUGGGACAAUCCAGAUAAGAAAUUCAAGGACAGUAACACAGGAACCUGCAUAUUGGCUGUUACCCACUUCAUUGUAAGGUGUAAGGUAUAAUGAAGUACGAAACAUUGACUUCAGUGCUGAAGAAGCGAUUUAACACUGUGAUAAUGUCAGUACUGCACAUGUUCAGCCAUCUGCCAAAAAAACUAAAACGUAACACUCCAGCACCUACUGAUAAUGAGUUACAAUCAUUUGUUUUCAAAUUUAGCUUCAACAGGUAGAAAACCAGCUCUACUGUCAAUUGUGAAGGAACAUUUAAAUGCAUAUAAACCAAAGACUGUAACUACAAAGUACCCAAAAAUGCUAACUAACCUUCGAGGAAAAGAUGCUCAACUUUGCAGAACUUUUAAAAUGUGCAAUGACAUAAACAUUGAAGUGUCCAAAGAAGAAGUGAGCAAUGUUGAAAAGGCUACCAAAAAACAAUGUGAGGAAAAUCUUGGUAUGAUUUCAGGGCAGGUAGAAUGACUGCUUAUAAAAUGCAAAAUGCAUGCCACACUGACCCGUUAAACCCAUCACAGAGCCUUAUCAUGGAGAUUUGUUAUCCUCAAAGAAACAAAUUCUAAAACUUGGCCAUAGUACAAUUAUGACAUCAUCAUGCUGUAAAGCUAUUGUUAUUAAAUGUACCGCCAUGCACUUCUUGUUGAUUUGAGCAAGGUACCAUUGUUUUCUUGCAUGUAUAUCUCAUCACAUUUGUUUACUUUGUCUUGUAGCAUUAAUCUGUUUAUUUAACAUUUAUGACAUUGAGAUAAGAGAAUUAAAUGUGAAAUAUG